rnacentral:rRNA from 1 species
AUUGAACGCUGGCGGCAGGCCUAACACAUGCAAGUCGAGCGGAGCGGCGGACGGGUGAGUAAUGACUAGGAAUCUGCCUGGUCGUGGGGGAUAACGUCCGGAAACGGGCGCUAAUACCGCAUACUAUCAGAUGAGCCUAGGUCGGAUUAGAUAGUUGGUGGGGUAAAGGCCUACCAAGGCGUCGAUCCGUAACGGGUCUGAGAGGAUGAUCAGUCACACGGGAACUGAGACACGGUCCAGACUCCUACGGGCGGCAGCAGUGGGGAAUAGUGAACAAGGGGCGAAAGCCUGAUCCAGCCAUGCCGCGUGUGUGAAGAAGGUCUUCGGAUUGGAAAGUACUUUAAGUUGGGAGGCGUUACCAACAGAAUAAGCACCGGCUAACUGCGUGCCAGCAGCCGCGGUAAUAC